AAAACAUUUGCCAUCAAGAUGCACAGGCAGAAAUAUUAGUCCACAGUUAUAAAAGACCUAAGAAAAACAUUGAAAUGAAAGACACUUCAUCAACAUUUACAAUUAAAGAGAAGAGGCUUUGGCGACAGUUACAAAAUGCAAAAAAAACAAUAAGGAAUAUAGCGAAGUCAAGAGUGAAUUUAGACAAGUUAGAUUCGGAAGUGCUGACAUCGUUAGUAAAGGAUGUAGUGCAGAAUAACAAAAAAAAGUCACAAGGAAAAAGGUGGACUUUAGCCAACAAAAUAUAUGCUUUGGCUAUAUUUAAACGGUCCCCUAAAGCAUACCGCUAUAUGCAAAAGCUGUUUACGCUACCAAGCACUAAAACGCUCCAAAGGAUUUUAAAAAAUAUACCAAUGGAGCCUGGUAUAAAUAAAAAUAUAAUUGAUAUGUUAGAGGCAAAAGCAUCAAGUAUGCCAAAGGAAAAUAAAUAUUGCUCGUUAAUAUUUGACGAGAUGGCGUUAAAGAAACGGAUAAUUUAUAACGAAAUUGCUGAUAAAGUGGAUGGCUACGUGGAUUAUGGUGAGGGCGAGAACAUGGGACGAGAAAAGAAAAUUGCAGACCAUGCGUUAGUGUUUAUGAUACAGGGUGCUAAACAUAAAUACAAACAAUAUAUUGCGCACUAUUUUGUGGAAGGCACAAUAUCAACAGCAAAACUGGCAAAAAUUAUAUCGGACAUCAUCAAAAAAUUAAAAGAAAUCGGAUUUAUGGUUCUAACAACAGUUUGUGAUCAGGGAUCUACAAAUAUAGGAGCUCUUAACAUGUUAAAAAGAAACUGUGGACAAGGCAUAGAUAGCAACUUUUUCUCUGUAAAUAAUGACAAAAUUUUUAUAAUCUAUGACAUCCCUCACUUGUUCAAAUCAUUACGAAACAAUUUCUUUAAAAGUGGAAAUAUGUCUUUCGAUGGAAAAAUUGCACAAUGGAGGCAUUUGGUAGUUGCAGAAGAACACAACAGAAAUUUUUUAAAUUUUAAAAAACUGAAUAGUACCAUUGUAAAUCCAACAUUCAAAACUAAGAUGAGGGUGAAGUAUGCUGCGCAUGCUCUGAGUAAUACCGUGGCAGCUAUUUUAAAAAUGAUGGCAUGGAAAGAAGUUUCUGAUUGCAAUGAUACAGCAUUUGUGAUUGAACAGUUAGAUAAACUAUUUGAUUGUACAAAUGGUCCAUCAUCUUUAAAUGACGUAAAGAAAGGGAUCCGGGAAAAUGUUUCCACAUCAAGUAAUCACAUUGAGUCUUGGACCUUUUAUACUGAUAAGUUAAAAACCAUAAAAUUUAUAACAGCAGAAAACACGAUACUAAAAAAUGUUAAAUGCGUAAAGGGAUAUCAAAUAUCUAUCAAAUCCUUAAACGAUAUUUGGGAAAAGUUAAAGAAUGAAGGGUUUAAAUAUAUGAACCUUAGACAGUUUAACCAAGACUCUCUGGAAAACUUAUUUGGAAUCAUUAGGCAACACAGUGUAACCAAUAGAAAUCCCACUAUCACGCACUUUACUGCAGCGCUUAAAACAAGCAUGGUUACUGGGCUGAAAGUGCCUCAUAGCAGAAGUGCUAAUUGUGAAGCAGACAACAAUAAACAUAUGCUGGAAUAUAAAGACAUUUUAAAAACUAAUUUAAAAACAACAGAAAUAAAAAUUAAUGUUCAAGAUUCCACAGACACUGAAUUUUAUCCUGUGUUGUCUAUCCCGGACCCUGAAAACUUAGAACAGCCCAUUGAAAAUUUGUGUAGCCUUGAAAACCAACCAGUAGUAUAUGUAAGCGGGUAUUUAGCUGCCAAACUAUUACAGAACAGUUCUUGUUUAAUUUGUGAAGAGUGUUUGAGCGUGAAAACUCCUGUUGACAAUGAUUUGUAUGCAUAUAUAUCUCUUCGCGAAUGGUGGCAUGAUAAAAAAAGUCUCGUUUAUCCAACAAUUCAAUUAUGUACCACCGUAAAUGAAGCUAAACAAUUUUAUCAUGACCAUAUUGCCGACCAGAUAUAUAUGGAAAAUGUUGGAAAAUUCAUUUUCUUAAUGUUGAGUACAAAUUGUAAUUUUAGUUGGUUUAAAUGUCAACAACAUAAUAAAGAAAUUUAUGAUAA